GGUGAAUCAACAGAGGGGAGGGGUUUCUGAAGCCGCCUGCCUCAUGUUACGGAGUGUUGCCUCUCUGAAAGGUAGUCGGCUCUGGAGGAACCCGUGGCCAUUUUUUGUUUGCAACUCGGAAUAAGCAGGAUGUGUGUGUGUGUGUGUGUUUCCUGCCGGGUCGGUCACUAAAUAUCAAAGAUACUAGAGGAGCUCCUCUAGUAUCUUUGCUAAAUAUUACGCCCUGCGUUAGAAACUGUAUCUGCUGUAACGCUGCUCUGCUCACUACUGUAUCCACUUUUGUUUCACGGAAGCACGAUGAUCAUCACUACAGUUCCCAGUCCUCCUUAAUGUCCAUCCGCAUCCUCCGGAGAUGUUGCCUGACCCGUCCAGCCCCUCCAGCACUUUGUAUUUUGCUCAAAAUCGCAGCAUAUGCAGUUCCUCCAGUGUCUCCAGUUCCCGGUUCUGUGCAGCCAAGGUACAGAAGAGUCUGGAGAGGUUCCUUCCUGCACCCUUGUGUGCCCUUCGAGCCUGCACUGCCAGUCAGUAAACAGAAUUCCUAGAAAAGCAAACUCAACGUGGCUCUAUGAAAGCGAAAUCCUGUAUGGCAAUGCAACAAACAGGGCGAGUUUAAAGGGAGUUCAUCAGGACCCAGCGACUAGUCAGCCCAACACUUCAACGUGCUCUGUACCAGAUCUCGUGAUUAUAAUCUUCCCAAUUUACAGGCGUUUCCAAGUUGUGUAUUGCCUAUAGUGAAAAGUCAAUUUAAAAUACUCAUAUAAUUCAUCUGCCGUGCCUGUUUUUCCAUGAAUUCCCCAGACCCAGUCUCUGUUGACUCACAUUGCAACAUCUUUUUAGUCAUCUUUUCCUUUAAGUUUGGUACCUCUAUUGCUAACUGCUUUAGCUAAUUAUGAAUGGAGGGUCCCCCCUCCCCCUAUUUCCUUUCUCGUUGGUAUGUAUCUAUUUUCUGAAAUCUUGAUCAAUUGAUCCCUUGAACUUUCAAGCUGUAAUAGUUGCCCCUAUUUAAUUAUACAACACAAAUCCUGAACUUAUUGGGGUUUUUUUUCUUCUUUCAAGAUGAAUGUUAUGAUUGCUUCACUGCAAACUCACUUGUGAAUCCUAUCAGUUCCAGACCUGCUGCUCCAAGAAAGUAUCCUGUAAACAUCAUCUACUCCUGUGUGAAGAUGUUGACGCACUAGUCCCCAGGUUCAGUAUUGUCACACUGUAAAAAUAAGCGGUCUCCUGCUAAACAUUGUAAAAUUCCACAUGUAACAAAAUUUUAAUUGUUUUUCAAAUCAGAAAUGUUCAAUUGGUAAUACAGGCCAUCAAAAACGUAUAUUUAUUUAGCAUCUUUCAGAACAUUCUGUAGCCAGUACUCUCACCCUGCUUCACUGUGGAGGGCCCAGCAACAGAUUUACACACACAAGGUCCAACAAAGACCGGGGCAGAUUAUCAAUGUACUGAGCAGUAUAAUGC